CUGUAAUCCACCAAGCGACUGAACUCAUCCACUGCGUAGAUGAUGAAAUGGAGGCAUACAGAGUACAAAUGAAAUUUGCGGCCGGGCAUGGUGGCUCACUCCUGUAGUCCCAGCACUUUGGGAGGCCGAGGCAGGUGGAUCACGUGAGGUCAGGAGACCAGUAUGGCCAACAUGGUGAAACCCCGUCUCUACUAAAAAUACAAAAAUUAGCCAGGCAUGGUGGCAGGCACGUGUAAUCCUAGCCUCUCGGGAGGCUGAGGCAGGAGAAUGCUUGAACCUGGGAGGCGGAAAUUGUAGUGAGCUGAGACCAUGCCAUUGCACUCCAACCUGGGCAACAAGAGCAAGACUCCAUCUCAAAAAAAAAGAAGAAGAAAAGAAAUUUGUGGCUGGGGGCAGUGGCUCACGCCUGUAAUUCCACCAUUUAGAGAGGUGGAGGUGGGAGGAUCACUUGAAACCACGAGUUCGAGACCAGCCUGGGUAACAUAGUGAGACACCCCCCCCCCCAACCAACUCUAUUUUUUUAAAAAAAGAAAUUUGCCCAAAAUUACCCAAAGAAGCAUCAGUGCCAGAUUUUGAACCCAGGCAAGCCAGCUCCUAAUCCUAAACCCAACCUGCUAACCACUAGGUUCUCCUGUCUCCCAGUAAGCCACUCCCUGUCCAUGACCUGGACAUUAGUAAUUGCUGGCUACCAG
rnacentral:lncRNA from 1 species